GUCUACGGCCAUGCCACCCUGAACAUGCCAAAUCUCGUCUGAUUUCGGAAGCUAAGCAGUGUUGGGCCUGGUUAGUACUUGGAUGGGAGACCACCUAGAAAGACCAGGUGCUGUAGGCA
rnacentral:rRNA from 1 species